GCGUGAAUCUGCCGGGACCAUCCGGUAAGGCUAAAUACUCCCGAGAGACCGAUAGCGAACCAGUACCGUGAGGGAAAGGUGAAAAGAACCCCGAGCAGGGGAGUGAAAUAGACCCUGAACCCGUCUGCCUACAAGCGGUCGGAGCGUCGUAAUGACGUGACGGCGUGCCUUUUGCAUAAUGAACCUACGAGUUACCUUCCCCGGCAAGGUUAAGUACCUAAGGUACGGAGCCGAAGCGAAAGCGAGUCUGAACAGGGCGCCAAGUCGGGGGGGGUAGACGCGAAACCGAGUGAUCUACCCUUGGCCAGGUUGAAGGUUGGGUAACACCAACUGGAGGACCGGAUGGGUAAGCGUUGAAAAGCUUUCCAAUGAGCUGAGGGUAGGGGUGAAAGGCUAAUCAAACUCGGAGAUAGCUCGUACUCCCCGAAAUGCAUUUAGGUGCAGCCUCUUUAUAGUAUAUCGUGAGGUAGAGCGACUGAUUGGAUGCGAGGGCUUCACCGCCUAUCAAGUCCAGAUAAACUCCGAAUGCGCGAUAUAUAUUUACAGGGAGUGAGGGCGCGGGUGCUAAGGUCCGUGUCCGAGAGGAGAAGAAUCCAGACCACCGGCUAAGGCCCCCAAAUGAUCGUUAAGUUGAACUAACGAGGUCGGAUCGCAGAGACAGCUAGGAUGUUGGCUUGGAAGCAGCCAUUCAUUUAAAGAGUGCGUAACAGCUCACUAGUCGAGGAGUUUGGCGUGGAUAAUAAUCGGGCAUUAAGUAUUCUACCGAAGCUUUGGGAUGUGUAAACAUCGGUAGGGGAGCAUUCCACUCGGCGUUGAAGGUGAGGCGUGAGCCUUGCUGGAGCGUGUGGAAAAGCAAAUGUAGGUAUAAGUAACGAUAAAGGGGGUGAGAAACCCCCUCGCCGAAAGACUAAGGUUUCCUGAUCAACGCUAAUCGGAUCAGGGUAAGUCGGGUCCUAAGGCUCAGCCGAACGGCGAGGCCGAUGGCAGAACCGGUUAAUAUUCCGGUACUACCUGUGGGAGUGACGUGGAGACGGAGUCGUGACAGCGCCGCGGACUGACGGAAUAGUCCGUUGAAGGGUGUAGAUGCUGAUUGUUCCAGGCAAAUCCGGAGCAAGAGUCGAACCUGACAGUAUGGAGCGUUCUUAGAACAAUCCAAUAGUGCGUGUAAUCAUACUUCCAAGAAAAUCCGCUAAACUUAAUCCUGCAGGUACCCGUACCGCAAACGGACACACGUAGUCGGGUUGAAUAUACUAAGGCGCUUGAGUGAUUCACGGUUAAGGAACUAGGCAAAUUGACCCUGUAACUUCGGGAUAAAGGGUCCUCGUCGUAAGGCGAGGCGCAGAGAAUAGGUCCAGGCAACUGUUUAACAAAAACACAUGGCUGUGCUAAAUGGAAACAUGAUGUAUACAGCCUGACACCUGCCCGGUGCCGGAAGGUUAAGAGGAGAUGUCAUCCGCGAGGAGAAGCGUUGAAUUGAAGCCCCGGUAAACGGCGGCCGUAACUAUAACGGUCCUAAGGUAGCGAAAUUCCUUGUCGGGU
rnacentral:rRNA from 1 species